UACGUAGGGUGCAAGCGUUAAUCGGAAUUACUGGGCGUAAAGGGCUCGUAGGCGGCCAACUAAGUCAGACGUGAAAUCCCCAGGCUUAACCUGGGAACUGCGUCUGAUACUGGAUGGCUUGAAUUCGGGAGAGGGAUGCAGAAUUCCAGGUGUAGCGGUGAAAUGCGUAGAUAUCUGGAGGAAUACCGGUGGCGAAGGCGGCAUCCUGGACCGAGAUUGACGCUGAUGAGCGAAAGCUAGGGGAGCAAACGGG
rnacentral:rRNA from 1 species